rnacentral:rRNA from 1 species
GGAAUAUUGCACAAUGGGGGCAACCCUGAUGCAGCCAUGCCGCGUGUGUGAAGAAGGCCUUCGGGUUGUAAAGCACUUUCAGUUGUGAGGAAAGUUUGUCGGUUAAUACCCGACAGAUGUGACGUUAGCAACAGAAGAAGGACCGGCUAACUCCGUGCCCGCAGCCGCGGUAAUACGGAGGGUCCGAGCGUUAAUCGGAAUUACUGGGCGUAAAGCGCACGCAGGCGGUUUGUUAAGCUAGAUGUGAAAGCCCCGGGCUCAACCUGGGAAUUGCAUUUAGAACUGGCAGGCUAGAGUCUUGGAGAGGGGAGUGGAAUUCCAGGUGUAGCGGUGAAAUGCGUAGAUAUCUGGAGGAACAUCAGUGGCGAAGGCGGCUACCUGGACCAACACUGACGCUGAGGUGCGAAAGCGUGGGGAGCAAA